rnacentral:rRNA from 1 species
AGGUAAGCUACUAAGAGCGAAUGGUGGAUGCCUUGACUGGUAAAGGCGAUGAAGGACGUACUAGACUGCGAUAAGCUACGGGGAGCUGUCAAGAAGCUUUGAUCCGUAGAUUUCCGAAUGGGGCAACCCAAUGUAUAGAGAUAUACAUUACCUAUAUAGGAGCGAACGAGGGGAAUUGAAACAUCUUAGUACCCUCAGGAAAAGAAAUCAAUAGAGAUUGCGUCAGUAGCGGCGAGCGAAAGCGCAAGAGGGCAAACCCAGUGCUUGCACUGGGGGUUGUAGGACUGCAAUGUGCAAGAGGUAAGUUUAGCAGAACAUUCUGGAAAGUAUAACCAUAGAGGGUGAUAGUCCCGUAUGCGAAAAACAAACCUUAGCUAGCAGUAUCCUGAGUAGGGCGGGACACGAGGAAUCCUGUCUGAAUCCGGGUCGACCACGAUCCAACCCUAAAUACUAAUACCAGAUCGAUAGUGCACAAGUACCGUGAGGGAAAGGUGAAAAGAACUGAGGUGAUCAGAGUGAAAUAGAACCUGAAACCAUUUGCUUACAAUCAUUCAGAGCCCUAUGUAGCAAUACAGGGUGAUGGACUGCCUUUUGCAUAAUGAGCCUGCGAGUUGUGGUGUCUGGCAAGGUUAAGCAAACGCGAAGCCGUAGCGAAAGCGAGUCUGAAUAGGGCGCUUAGUCAGAUGCUGCAGACCCGAAACGAAGUGAUCUAUCCAUGAGCAAGUUGAAGCUAGUGUAAGAACUAGUGGAGGACUGAACCCAUAGGCGUUGAAAAGCCCCGGGAUGACUUGUGGAUAGGGGUGAAAGGCCAAUCAAACUUCGUGAUAGCUGGUUCUCUCCGAAAUAUAUUUAGGUAUAGCGUUGUGUCGUAAUAUAAGGGGGUAGAGCACUGAAUGGGCUAGGGCAUACACCAAUGUACCAAACCCUAUCAAACUCCGAAUACCUUAUAUGUAAUCACAGCAGUCAGGCGGCGAGUGAUAAAAUCCGUCGUCAAGAGGGAAACAACCCAGACUACCAGCUAAGGUCCCUAAAUCUUACUUAAGUGGAAAACGAUGUGAAGUUACUUAAACAACCAGGAGGUUGGCUUAGAAGCAGCCAUCCUUUAAAGAAAGCGUAAUAGCUCACUGGUCUAGUGAUUUUGCGCGGAAAAUAUAACGGGGCUAAAGUAAGUACCGAAGCUGUAGACUUGCACACAACUUAGAUUAUUUAAGUUUAGAAUAUGAGAAACUAAGUUAUAUGUUUAGUUAUAUUUUUACUGAUUUUUAUAGAGUAAAGAUAGAAAUAAAACUUAGUAAAAUCAGUAAAAAUAUUCUUAGACUAAAGUUAAGUAGUUUAAGUUGUGUGCAAGUGGUAGGAGAGCGUUCUAUUUGCGUCGAAGGUAUACCGGUAAGGAGUGCUGGAGCGAAUAGAAGUGAGCAUGCAGGCAUGAGUAGCGAUAAUUAAUGUGA